CCCCAGCCCACGUCUGCUCAGCAUCCAGCACCCCCAUUGUCCUGGCCUCUUGGAAACUCCUAGGGGCUCCCAAACACCCACUCGCCAACCUUGGAAAUCUCACACACCCCAAAUUAGCCCCUAGCACCCCGGUAACCAUUCUCCAUUCUCCCCCCUCCCCCCAUCUAGCUGCCCCUCCCUGGUGCCCACCACUCACUCUUAACUCUGAAGAGGACCGCCACCCCACCUGGCGACCCAGGACCCCAACGUCAGGGACAGGGCCCCCCGCCGCCAUGCACAAACACUACACCGUCCGCUUCAUCAAGGGCGCCCUGCCCCUUCGGACCCCCACCGAACACUACUUCUUGGACCCGGAGUUGGGGCAGCAAAAAGGGUGCCGUCGCCAGUGGUGCCAUGACCCGGCGGCCCUUCAAGCCCAC
rnacentral:lncRNA from 1 species